rnacentral:rRNA from 1 species
CCUACGGGAGGCUGCAGUGGGGAAUAUUGGGCAAUGGGCGCAAGCCUGACCCAGCAACGCCGCGUGAAGGAAGAAGGCCUUCGGAUUGUAAACCUCUUUCAGCAGGGAAGAGAAGAGGACGGUACCUGCCGAAUAAGCCACGGCUAACUACGUGCCAGCAGCCGCGGUAAUACGUAGGUGGCAAGCGUUGUCCGGAAUUACUGGGUGUAAAGGGUGUGUAGGCGGGUUGACAAGUCAGAUGUGAAAUCUUGCGGCUUAACCGAAGAACUGCGUAUGAAACUGUUGAUCUUGAGUACUGGAGAGGUAAACGGAAUUCCGAGUGUAGCGGUGAAAUGCGUAGAUAUUAGGAGGAACACCAGUGGCGAAGGCGGUUUACUGGACAACAACUGACGGUGAGGCACGAAAGCGUGGGGAGCAAACAGGAUUAGAUACCCCUGUAGUC